AGGUGAAUGACUUUACAGUCAAAACUUUUGAUUAACAAUCAAACACCAAGUUUUGGCUUUUCACCUA
rnacentral:tRNA from 1 species